rnacentral:rRNA from 1 species
UACAGAGGGUGCGAGCGUUAAUCGGAAUUACUGGGCGUAAAGCGUGCGUAGACGGUUAUUUAAGUCGGGUGUGAAAGCCCGGGCUCAACCUGGGAAUUGCAUUCGAGACUGAAUAGCUAGGGUACGGUAGAGGGAAGUGGAAUUCCGGUGUAGCGGUGAAAUGCGUAGAUAUCGGAAGGAACAUCAGUGGCGAAGGCAGCUCGCUGGGACGUUACUGACGCUGAGACGCGAAAGCGUGGGGAGCAAACAGG